CCUACGGGAGGCAGCAGUGAGGAAUAUUGGUCAAUGGGCGCGAGCCUGAACCAGCCAAGUCGCGUGAGGGAUGAAGGUUCUAUGGAUCGUAAACCUCUUUUAUAAGGGAAUAAAGUGUGGGACGUGUCCUAUUUUGUAUGUACCUUAUGAAUAAGGAUCGGCUAACUCCGUGCCAGCAGCCGCGGUAAUACGGAGGAUCCGGGCGUUAUCCGGAUUUAUUGGGUUUAAAGGGUGCGUAGGUGGUAUCGGAAGUUGGUGGUAUAAUUCCGGGGCCCAACCUCUGCGCUACCGACAAAACUAAUUGACUAGAGUGGGGGAGAGGUAGGUGGAAUGCCUAGUGGAGCGGUGGAAUGCGUAGAUAUUAGGAGGAACAUCAGGGGCGAAGGCGACGUACUGGACUGUAACUGACACUGAGGCACGAAAGCGUGGGGAGCAAACAGGAUUAGAUACCCCAGUAGUC
rnacentral:rRNA from 1 species